rnacentral:lncRNA from 1 species
CUCGCUUGCCCCCCAGCUCUCCCCCCCCGCCCUAAGCCGCGUGGCCCUGUCUUCCUCUCCGGGGAGACAGAACUUAAACACAAGCAGGCAGUCUCCAUCUGCCUUCUCACCUGCUCUGCCUAUUCUGAUCUGCGCUGCCGCUACUGCCAGAAAAAUCUCUCCUGAGACCCCUUUUGCCCCCGGGGGCUUCCACAUGCGCACCCGGCAAACCCCAGCCUUCUCCUCCAUCCGGCCUCUUAGCUGCGAAUGUGUGGCACCGUGUGCCCUUCCCCAAACCAGCCUGCUCCAGGAAGCCUUCCUUGGCACUGCAGCUGAGGUGGUCUUUUUCAUGAACCGUGUUUGGCGUGGAGCAUCAGCUCAACCACAAGCCACACCUGCACGAAAGACGGUGCCUGUGAGAUUGCAUUUCAAGGGGAAAUCAAGGUCAAGGGGUUGGAGCUAAUUCUUUUUCAGAAGGGAGUUGUCAAGCUGUCGCCUCGCUCUGCUGUUCCACAGUCCUCUGUAACCUGCAGAGAGAGCACCAGGGCCCAGCCGUGAGUGCCCAGUCAGCUCCCGAAGGUCGGGGGCUGCAUUUCUCUUUCUCAGCCAUGAUUCCUUCUCUUGUCAUCACCCUGGUUGGCUCAGCCUAUGUGCCUACAAAACCCAGUCAGGGCAGCCCAGAAAACUAGGUUGGAUUAAUAACACAAGACAAGAACAGUUGGGAUGGACAGUUGGCUGCACACAUAGUAACAGGUUACCCAGACGAAUCUAGAAGACUCUGGGAUCAUUUGUGGCCCUGGAUCAUCCAUGCCAUCCCUUCCUGUGCUUGGAAUCCUGACCUCAGGCACAAAUGUGUCCGUGUGAGUUCGCUUGCUCAUCCCCUUGUGCCAAGUGAGAGUUACAAGCAGCCUACAUACGACUCUAUCCCAGCGCGUCUCUGACUUUCAUGCCCACCUCCUUCCUGGACCGGAUGUGGUCUGCCUGGAAUGAGCUCCUGGAGUUCCCUGUGUCUCUGUGGCAACAUCUCCUGUUUAAUCUUAGGGUAAUGUGUCUCCCCUGUGUGACUAAGGGAUUCGGUGUGUCCUGAGCCCCCCUGAGUCACUAGAGUCCGUUAUUGUGUCUGCCU